UGAAAAAAAAAAAAAACAAAAAAAAACAAAAAAAGGAAAAAGAAAAUAAAAAUAGGAUAUUGACGAUAUUAAAAUUGAGAUCGAUUUGCCCCUAGCGGUCGAACCCAACGCGGAAAGUAGGAGGCAAGUCCCUUCACCAUUCAACCGAAGCAACGGAGGUAGAAAGCUGUGUACCGAAAAGCCCAACUUUCCAGUUAAGUUCUCCGUCUUCGCGCGAAUCAUUACUGUUGCUCAUGCUCUGAUACGGUCACCACUUAGUAAUAAUCACAAAACCGACAGAAAAAUAAUGACGACGUUGCAGGUCGCCGGGAACCUAACGCCUCACUAUCGGCAGAUUCUGAUGUCGGUUAAUGCAGUGGCAUCUAGUCUUUCAUUUGUAGGGUCUAGCUUCAUAGUGCUGUGUUAUAUCCUCUUCAAAGAGCUCCGCAAAUUCUCCUUCAAACUUGUCUUCUAUCUCGCCCUCUCUGAUAUGCUUUGCAGUUUCUUCAGCAUAGUUGGGGACCCAUCCAAAGGAUUCUUUUGCAUUGCUCAGGGAUACAGCACGCAUUUCUUCUGUGUAGCAUCAUUUUUGUGGACCACAACUAUUGCUUUUACUCUUCAUCGUACUGUUGUUAAACACAAAACAGAUGUUGAAGACCUGGAGGCCAUGUUUCACUUGUAUGUUUGGGGAACUUCUUUGGUUAUGACUGUGAUACGCUCCAUUGGUAAUAACCAUGGACAUUUAGGUGCAUGGUGUUGGACAGAAACAGGGAGAACAAGAAAGGCAAUUCACUUUAUAACAUUUUAUGCACCACUUUGGGCUGCAAUUCUUUACAAUGGGCUUAUGUAUUUUCAGGUCAUACGCAUGCUAAAUAAUGCAACCCGUAUGGCAGUAGGCAUGUCAGACCGAGCAUAUCAAUUUGAUGCAAGGCCAGACUUGAAGGCUUUGAACCGGUGGGGAUACUAUCCACUUAUCCUGAUAGGCUCAUGGGCUUUUGGUACAAUAAAUCGCAUUCAUGACUUCAUCGCACCGGGCCACAAAAUGCUUUGGCUCUCAGUUCUUGAUGUUGGAACAGCUGCACUUAUGGGUCUUUUUAACUCAAUAGCAUAUGGACUGAACUCUUCGGUGCGUAGGGCAUUAUAUGAAAGAUUGGAUCUGUAAGUUAGAGAACCUGAUAUACUUGUUGCAUCUCAAUAACAUUACAUGAAAGAUUGGAUCUGUUCUGGCCAGAUAGGCUUAGAAGAUGGUUUGCUAAUGGUUUGAGAUUCAGAAAUCAAGUGCAUGAGAGUGAACUAGUCUCAUUGAGAAUUCAAGAUCAGCAUUAGUAGCUUGGACACUGUUCAAACUUGUGUUCUCUGCAACAUUGUUUCAUUAAACGUGGCAAUUAAAUGAAAAACAAAGAGGAUUAUAACUUCUAGCAUGUGUAAAGUCCAUUGGAUUCCUGUUAGUUUUUACAGAGCGAAGUCUGUCAAAUUGUUUGCAUCACCGGAUAUUAGAAUGCUUCCCCUCACUUGAGUUGCCCGUUUUCAAGAAGGUGGAGAACCUCAGGAUCGAUGGCAGUAACUGUGAAAUUAUGUUUUUAUACUGUUAAAAAAAGUCUAAAUUGCUCUUAUGGUUUCGAGAGCUGUUAAGAAGGAAUAUCAUUUUUUUUUAUUUGUCUCUCUUCAAUUGUUGUCAAUUGCAUUUGGAUCUGGAUUUGGGUUCAUGUCCCAAUUUUGUUAUUACUUCGGUGUAUGAUAUUGUGUUCUGUUUCUACGGAAAA